CCCUUAGAUGUUCUGGGCCGCACGCGCGCUACACUGAUGCAUUCAACGAGCCUAUCCUUGACCGACAGGUCCGGGUAAUCUUUGAAUCUGCAUCGUGACGGGGAUAGAUUAUUGCAAUUAUUAAUCUUCAACGAGGAAUGCCUAGUAGGCGCAAGUCAUCGGCUUGCGUCGAUUACGUCCCUGCCCUUUGUACACACCGCCCGUCGCUCCUACUGAUUGGGUGUGCUGGUGAAAUGUUCGGAUCGGCCGUUUGUCGCGGUUUCCGCGUCAUGUGGCUGAGAAGUUCAUUAAACCCUCCCACCUAGAGGAAGGAGAAGUCGUAACA
rnacentral:rRNA from 1 species